AUGGCCCGAAUUAGCAUAUUAAUGCAGCGAAACCGCGGGUGGCCGAGCGGGCUUAAAAAUCCUUACUCCUUAUUGGAUGAAACCACAACUUUCAAACAAGUAAAAUCACUCGUGAUUGGCAGCAAAACCACACCUGGGCAGACCAGGCUUGAGUUUCCUUGCUCAUUAUUGGAUGAAACCACAACUUUCAAACAAGUAAAAUCACUCGUGAUUGGUUGGCAGACACUAACAGUUUUGAGGAACCCGUCCUUGACCCUCUAGCAGAACUACGACCAGCCAUUAUAAAGCAGGUUAUAGUUGUUAAUGUUGUGUCAAAGGGUACGGCAUUUAAACAUGUUCUUGCACAAGUUUCCUGGCUUCAUCCCCACCCAGACAGACAUUUUUAUGCAAAGCCAAUAGAAGUUUGGGGCUUGCAGGGAACAGAUACGUCAUACCCAGCAUCAUUUCUGCCAGUUGACCGCAUUGCCAGAAGAUGUGUAGUUAAUACAUCCUCUGUGCAUUUAAGUAAGACCAAAGAAAAGGUCACUGUAGUCCUGCCACUAUGCACUGUAGUUGAGCUCUAGGAGACUGUGAUCUCUGCAGACCCCANNNNNNNNNNNNNNNNNNNNNNNNNNNNNNNNNNNNNNNNNNNNNNNNNNNNNNNNNNNNNNNNNNNNNNNNNNNNNNNNNNNNNNNNNNNNNNNNNNNNAAAAGGUCACUGUAGUCCUGCCACUAUGCACUGUAGUUGAGCUCUAGGAGACUGUGAUCUCUGCAGACCCCUCAUUCUGAUUCAAAUGAUGUUUGCAUGGAAUGCUCAUUUUACCUUGAUUAAAACUAAUUUUUUAAAGAAGUUAUUUUGUGUAUCUUUUUUACAUAACAUUUGCCAUUGCUAAUGGCGUACACUGUAAUCUAGCAUAUUUGAAUUAAAUAAAUCAAUUCAAGCUAAAAUGUAAGAGUUGUAGGAUAUUAGAAACAAAAAUACGACCCGGUUCAUAAAAUUAAUAAAAAUGCAUAUAGUGUACACCAGAAUACAGCCAUGAUUCUGAAACUGUAAUCAAUAAAGUAAUGACAGUAUUGUAAAACCACUGUAAUUCUGCAACUGUAAUAGAACAAUACCAAUGCAGUUAUGAUUGUAUUUGAUGUAAUGUAAUCAACUGGAAUGCAUGCAUGUAAUACUUGCACAACAACUGAUAUUGACUAAGGAUCAUUCGAAAUCUGAGUUACAUUGAACUCACCAGAAGACCACUCCCAGAGGUGUGGACACUAACUUUCACACCUUUAAGCAUUGUUAUAAAUACCUGUAGGAACCAUUGUUCUCGAGUUCACUGGUGGAGGCGACAGACGGGCACUAGGGAUGGUCAAAAGGACUGACCUGGGGCCUGUUGGUUGCUGAGACCAGCGGCUCCUCAGCUGAGAUGUUCUUUUUACCGCAACGCCAUCUCUUUUAUUAAAUACAUUUGAUUUUAACCUUUUGAUCAGUGAUGACCUCUGUCCGUCUGGCGUUUCUUCAUUUUUGAACACAACAGAGUCUAUAAUUAGGCUACUGAGCCUGAUCUAUUUGUACCAGAGAUUUUCUUACCUUUUAAAAAAAUGUCACCUGGGCUAAAACUCCCUCUGCAACCCUGAUUUGCAUUUGUAUAGCUCACAGCAUUUUCAUUUACAUGUCAAAGCCUCCGGUAGAAUUAGGAGGAGGGGGGGUCAUGGGGGGACAACUGCCAAGGGAGGCCCACGUCAAUUUCUGACAAUUUACGGCAGUUUUCGGUGUUGCCGGCAAAUUGCCGUGAACAGCCAUAAACCUGAAAUUCCACGACAAUCUACAGUGCCGCAUACUGACGAAACACAGGUGUGGCUUACGGGGUAAUUCACAAUUCUUUUAAUUCAAGCACUUUAUUGACAACUUCUAAUACUUAAAGCCAUAAACUGUUUUAUGACAAGUAUUUGUUGUAUUGUGGUUGUACAUUUUAUUUGUAUUUGCUGAAGAAGUAAUCUGCUUUAUUUGAAAGUGAUGCAAUUUUUUAUUCCUUUAUUUGAGUAUAGAGGG
ensembl:lncRNA